ensembl:lncRNA
CGUGUAUGGUUUAAUGUAUGUAUUGAAAAGCAUAUAUAUAUAUAGACUUACAAUACCUCCACACAUACAUUUGUAUGAAAUAUAGAUAUAAACUUGAUAGAUAAAAUAUAUUAUAUCUAAUAAAAUGAUGAUUAUUAUGAUGACACAAACAACCACACAAUAGGAUGACAGAAUGAGUGCACAAACAACACACUGACCUUUGUGCUGUUACACAACUCCCACAGUGCCUCCCCCCCAUCACCACCACCACCUGACUAACCCUACAUCGGUCUUCUGCUCCAGCUUAGGGAACCUCGCUCACUCUACAUUGUCAGUCCGUCAACAUCUCUCUUAUCUGUCCAUUUUCCAGCAUUAAAAAUACAUCCGAUUUGCAUUAAACAGGGCAGUAUAACAAAAUAUCUCACACACACACAUCUCACGCACACACACAGCCUAGAGCACUUCAUCUAGCUGACUUUAGCUACAGAUUAGCACUGAGCGUCUUUACGCGGAAGACUCCAGAUUGUCCCAGAGCACCAGAAGCUGGCCUACAUCACCACUGAGUCACUUGAUAACAGCGUUAUCCAAUGAACUCCAAACAACCACUGCCCACCCAGGAAUAGACACAUAUACAUACAAUCAUUUGCUUAUCUUGGUGGAUGUCUAUUUAGAUGAAUUUUUUCAAUGUUGAAUAGACUAGAGAACUACACAUUCAGAGCAAACCCCUUCCCAAACAAUACUUUUAGUCAAAACCAGCCUUUGGGAGCUAUUGGCUCUUCAUAUAUUAGAAAUAAUGCCAUAUAUCCUACGAACAAUGUUAUUAUGUAAAAGUAGAGAGGACUAUUAGGGGUGGGACAGACACAAUUAAAAACAUGACCCACAGUGCUAUUUUAGACCCAUACGCCAUUAUAAUCCUGGAGCAGAUCUGUCACAUGCUACUAAAAACAGGGCUGCUAGCAGACGCGCAAUGGUACGCUUCAACAAUUUUUCCACUCAGCAAGUCAUGGGAUUGGCACUCAAGAAAUAUUGAGUUGCAGUUCUUGCAGUUCUUCUUCAUCAUCAUCAUCAUCAUCAUCAUCAUCAUCAUCAUCAUCAUCAUCAUCAUCAACACACAAACUAAAGGAGUUGCCUGACAAUAGAUAACAAGACAAGAUGGUUUUCCACAAACCAAGUCUUUAUUUCUCCUUCUGACCAGCUGUGGACAACACAGAUAUACAAGAUAGAGGUAUCUGGAACAUGUUAAAUAACAAUAUUUAUUAAUAUCAUUAUUGUCACAUUAAUAACAUGGAAUGUAGUGUCCUUCAUUGACAUUCUUAUUUUGUUUUUAGCUUUUGUUUUUAGUUUUAUCUUAGGAAACAAGUCAAUAAAUAAAUAACUCUAUAGGAUCUGUUUCUGAACUCUAUAUGAAUAUAGUCUCUUCAAAAUGUAGGGCGGGGGGUGAGGGGAGGGCCGGAUGAAAAGGAGCUGGAGGAGGGAUCAGAAGGAGGAGACAGACCAUGGGGCCUUCUGCCAUCCAAACCC